UACGUAGGGCGCGAGCGUUGUCCGGAAUUAUUGGGCGUAAAGAGCUCGUAGGCGGCUUGUCGCGUCUGCUGUGAAAACGCGGGGCUUAACUCCGCGCGUGCAGUGGGUACGGGCAGGCUGGAGUGCGGUAAGGGUGGCUGGAAUUCCUGGCGUAGCGGUGGAAUGCGCAGAUAUCAGGAGGAACACCGACGGCGAAGGCAGGUCACUGGGCCGUUACUGACGCUGAGGAGCGAAAGCAUGGGGAGCGAAC
rnacentral:rRNA from 1 species